AGACCGAUAGCGAACAAGUACCGUGAGGGAAAGAUGAAAAGAACUUUGAAAAGAGAGUUAAACAGUAUGUGAAAUUGCCAAGAGGGAAGCAUUUGGAGUUAGAUUGACUAGGAGUUAAUCAGCUUGGUCUUUGGACUGGGUGUACUUGACUUCUAUUGGUCUGCCAAUAGCAGUUAGUCCUAGUGGAAAAAACUAGAGGGAAGGUAGUCCUUCGGGAUGUUUAUAGACCUUUGGAAAAUACACUGGGAUUGACUGAGGAAUGCAGUAGAUGCCACUAAGGCUUCGUCUAGUGGGUGCUAGGCAAAGGUACUUGGUAUUUUCAGCUUGCUGAUGUGCUAGGUUACCCGAGUCUAGUCGCCUACUAGAACUGUAAUCUACUUUGGUUAUUGGCUUAAUGACUCUAAAUGACCCGUCUUGAAACACGGACCAAG
rnacentral:rRNA from 1 species